GCACGCCCUCAUCUCUCAUGCUCCAUCCUCGGCCGGAAAACAGCGGCGGAGCCGCCGUCGAGCCCUAGCCCCAUUUCUGGAAUCGCCGUCGUCGCGGCCCUUCUCCGGCGCGAUGGAUCGCCGCCGUCAUUCCCUCGGCUCGACUGAACAGGCUGAACUCAAGAAGAAAAUGGAGAAGUUUAAGUUGAGCUUACCUCUUGGGGUCCAGAUUGCAGCUGAAAUAAACUCUAUGAUUUUUGGUGCAUAAAGGAAGGAGGGGGAAUCGUAGUUGGUGAUUUUCAGGCUACUAUGAAGCCCUCAAUUUAUAGGCAGAUUAGGCCGCAAAACUUGAAAACUAUUUACAGCAAAUGUGGAAAUUUUGCUGCAACUUUUGACAAAAAUGAAAUUGGUUGGUGGCUGCCAUAAUUUUUUUUUUUACUAAUAGUGGAAUUUCAUGUGAGACUUUGAAAAGUGGAGUACUCAUAGGGUGCGUCUGAUCCUAGUUGUAUCUUAGCAUGCUUCAAAUAUUAAAUUGUGACUUUUGCAGGGAAAAGAGUAUGACCUUAGCAGAGUUAAAGAAAAGGGGCUGCUAUGCGUGUACUAUCUAUAUUUUAUUUCUUGAUUUUGUAUACUCUAUUGAUAGUGUAGGAGCGUAGGGAGUGUGAAAGAAAAAUGAUGAUUGUAAGUAAAUAGAAUUGAGGUGACUAAUAAAAAUCUCUUGCCUUGAUUAAUUAAUCAAGUAUUUGUAAAACAAA